rnacentral:rRNA from 1 species
UAACCUGCCAAAGAGAUCGGGAUAACACCUGGAAACAGAUGCUAAUACCGGAUAACAACAGAUGAUGCCUAUCAACUGUUUAAAAGAUGGUUCUGCUAUCACUCUUGGAUGGACCUGCGGUGCAUUAGCUAGUUGGUAGGGUAACGGCCUACCAAGGCGAUGAUGCAUAGCCGAGUUGAGAGACUGAUCGGCCACAUUGGGACUGAGACACGGCCCAAACUCCUACGGGAGGCAGCAGGC